rnacentral:rRNA from 1 species
GGUUGAUCCUGCCAGCAAUCAUAUGCUUGUCUCAAAGAUUAAGCCAUGCAUGUCUAAGUAUAAGCGAUUAUACAGCGAAACUGCGAAUGGCUCAUUAUAUCAGUUAUAAUCUACUUGAUCAAAUCUGUUACUUGGAUAACUGUAGGAAUUCUAGAGCUAAUACAUGCGAAAAAUUCGGACCGGGGGCAACUCUGGGAAGAAUGCGUUUACUAGUCGAGAAGCCAAGAUGGGGCAUUCAACUUCGGGCAACCGAGGGUUCCAUAAAAAAGAUGAAUCAUAGUAAGUUUCACGC